rnacentral:rRNA from 1 species
GACAGAGGAUGCAAGCGUUAUCCGGAAUGAUUGGGCGUAAAGCGUCUGUAGGUGGCUUUUUAAGUCCGCCGUCAAAUCCCAGGGCUCAACCCUGGACAGGCGGUGGAAACUACCAAGCUGGAGUACGGUAGGGGCAGAGGGAAUUUCCGGUGGAGCGGUGAAAUGCGCAGAUAUCAGGAGGAACGCCGAUGGCGAAGGCAGGUCUCUGGGCAUUAACUGACGCUGAGGAGCGAAAGCAUGGGGAGCGAACAGG